UACGUAGGGUGCGAGCGUUGUCCGGAAUUACUGGGCGUAAAGAGCUCGUAGGCGGCUUGUCGCGUUGUUCGUGAAAAAUUUACCGCUCAACGGUGAACUUGCGGGCGAUACGGGCAGGCUAGAGUACUGCAGGGGGAGACUGGAAUUCCUGGUGUAGCGGUGGAAUGCGCAGAUAUCAGGAGGAACACCGGUGGCGAAGGCGGGUCUCUGGGCAGUAACUGACGCUGAGGAGCGAAAGCGUGGGGAGCGAACAGG
rnacentral:rRNA from 1 species